rnacentral:rRNA from 1 species
GCCGUAGGGCGCGAGCGUUGUCCGGAAUUAUUGGGCGUAAAGCGCUCGUAGGCGGCCUGUUGCGUCCGCUGUGAAAUCCCGGGGCUCAACCCUGGGCGUGCAGUGGAUACGGGCAGGCUGGAGGCAGGCAGGGGAGAACGGAAUUCCCGGUGUAGCGGUGAAAUGCGCAGAUAUCGGGAGGAACACCGGUGGCGAAGGCGGUUCUCUGGGCCUGUGCUGACGCUGAGGGGCGAAAGCGUGGGGAGCGAACAGG